CAGUGCCACGGUAAUACGUAGGGUCCGAGCGUUGUUCGGAAUUACUGGGCGUAAAGCGCACGUAGGCGGAUAUUUAAGUCAGGGGUGAAAUCCCGCAGCUCAACUGCGGAACUGCCUUUGAUACUGGGUAUCUUGAGUAUGGAAGAGGUUAGUGGAAUUGCGAGUGUAGAGGUGAAAUUCGUAGAUAUUCGCAGGAACACCAGUGGCGAAGGCGGCUAACUGGUCCAUAACUGACGCCGAGGUGCGAAAGCGUGGGGAGCAAACAGGAUUAGAUACCCGCGUAGUCCCUGUCUCUUAUACA
rnacentral:rRNA from 1 species